rnacentral:rRNA from 1 species
GUAAUGCGUAGGAAGCUGCCCGAUAGAGGGGGAUACCAGUUGGAAACGACUGUUAAUACCGCAUAAUGUCUACGGACCAAAGUGUGGGACCUUCGGGCCACAUGCUAUCGGAUGCGCCUACGUGGGAUUAGCUAGUUGGUGAGGUAAUGGCUCACCAAGGCGACGAUCUCUAGCUGGUUUGAGAGGAUGAUCAGCCACACUGGAACUGAGACACGGUCCAGACUCCUACGGGAGGCAGCAGUGGGGAAUAUUGGACAAUGGGCGCAAGCCUGAUCCAGCCAUGCCGCGUGUGUGAAGAAGGCCUUCGGGUUGUAAAGCACUUUCAGCGAGGAGGAAGGGAUGUAUGUUAAUAGCAUGCAUUUUUGACGUUACUCGCAGAAGAAGCACCGGCUAACUCUGUGCCAGCAGCCGCGGUAAUACAGAGGGUGCAAGCGUUAAUCGGAAUUACUGGGCGUAAAGCGCACGUAGGCGGUUGGUUAAGUUGGAUGUGAAAGCCCCGGGCUCAACCUGGGAAUUGCAUUCAAAACUGGCCAACUAGAAUACGGGAGAGGGGGGUAGAAUUCCAAGUGUAGCGGUGAAAUGCGUAGAGAUUUGGAGGAAUACCAGUGGCGAAGGCGGCCCCCUGGCCCGAUAUUGACGCUGAGGUG